GACGUAGGUGGCGAACGUUAUCCGGAAUUAUUGGGCGUAAAGGGUGCGUAGAUGGCUUGAUAAGUUAGCAGUGGGAAAUCGAGGCUCAACCUCGUGGAAGCUGGUAAUACUGUCAGGCUCGAGUGCAGGAGAGGUUAACGGAACUCCAUGUGGAGCGGUAAAAUGUGUAGAUAUAUGGAAGAACACCAAUAACGGCGAAGGCAGGUUAACUAUUCUGUUACUGACAUUGAGGUACGAAAGCGUGGGGAGCAAAACGG
rnacentral:rRNA from 1 species